GUGAGAGCGCGACCCCCCACAAUGGAACUGAGAAACGGUCCAUACUCCUACGGGAGGCAGCAGUGAGGAAUAUUGCACAAUGGGGGAAACCCUGAUGCAGCAACGCCGCGUGAACGAUGAAGGCCUUCGGGUUGUAAAGUUCUUUUCUGGGGGACGAUAGUGACGGUACCUCAGGAAUAAGUCCCGGCUAACUACGUGCCAGCAGCCGCGGUAAAACGUAGGGGGCGAGCGUUAUCCGGAUUUAUUGGGCGUAAAGCGCAAGUAGGCAGCGUUGUAAGUUGGACGUGAAAGCUCCCGGCUCAACUGGGAGAGGUCGUUCAAAACUACAGUGCUCGAGGUUGGAAGAGGAGAGUAGAAUUCCCGGUGUAGUGGUGGAAUGCGUAGAUAUCGGGAGGAAUACCAGUGGCGAAAGCGACUCUCUGGUCCACACCUGACGCUGAGGUGCGAAAGCGUGGGUAGCGAACGGGAUUAGAUACCCCGGUAGUCCACGCCGUAAACGAUGGAUACUAGGUGUAGGGGGUCACUGAAUCCCUCUGUGCCGUAGCAAACGCGUUAAGUAUCCCGCCUGGGGACUACGGCCGCAAGGUUAAAACUCAAAGGAAUUGACGGGGGCCCGCACAAGCAGCGGAGCGUGUGGUUUAAUUCGAUGAUACGCGAAGAACCUUACCUGGGCUGAACUACGUGGUAGUAGAGAAGCGAAAGCGGAUCGACCCUUCGGGGAGCCUCGAUAGGUGCUGCAUGGCUGUCGUCAGCUCGUGUCGUGAGAUGUUGGGUUAAGUCCCGCAACGAGCGCAACGCUUGUCGUUAGUUAUACGUGUCUAGCGAGACUGCCGGUAUCAAACCGGAGCAAGGUGGGGAUGACGUCAAGUCAGCAUGGUCUUUAUGUCCAGGGCUACACACACGCUACAAUGGCCGGUACAACAGGUUGCUAUACCGCGAGGUGGAGCUAAUCCCUAAAGCCGGUCUCAGUUCGGAUUGCAGUCUGCAACUCGACUGCAUGAAGGUGGAGUUGCUAGUAACCGCGCGUCAGCAAUCGUGCGGUGAAUGCGUUCC
rnacentral:rRNA from 1 species